rnacentral:misc_RNA from 1 species
AGCUUCUAUUCUUUUAGAGAUUGAAAAGCUUAUGAAGAAACUUGUCUCAUUUCUCCUUAAUUCUACUUUUUUGUUCCUUUAUAAACCCUAGCCGUGGAAGCUCUGACUGAAAACGCUAGGAAGAAGCUCCAAUUUCCACACCUUUCACAAUCCCACCACUACCCAACCCACAUGGACGCCGUCAAUAUUUCCUCAUCAGUCAGACUCUUCUCUGAGAUCCUAACUCACACCGACCCUAAGGAUAUCGAGUCUGCACUCUCCUCAACUGGAAUUCCUCCUGCCCCUGAUCUUGUUCAUCAAGUCCUCAAGCUCAAUUACAGCAAUCCCUCUUCUUCUGUGGUGUUUUUCCGGNNNNNNNNNNNNAUAAGCCUACCCCUUAUGCGUGGAACCUGAUGGUGGAUUUGCUUGGCAGGAAUCAGCUUUUCGAUUGCAUGUGGGAUGCCAUUCGUUCUAUGAAGCAAAAGUCGCCAUUGACAAUACAUU